GUCUAUUUAACAUCAAUUCUCAUCAUGUUCGUCAAAUGAAUUUGACAUUAGUUGAAAAUUUUGGAGCCAAUUUGUGAAAAUUAUUCAGAUUUAUAUGCUUUUCAAAUGGGUUUCUUCAUUAGAACCGUUUAGUUAGGAAAUUCUUAGUUCAUUAGAUUGUUGAUUUUAGGUUUGUUUUGCUAAGUUAUCACUUAUUUGUUUUUAUUUGUAAAAUUAUGAAAUCCUGAGUAGAUUAGAAAUUAAAUUGAGGUUAAUUUUGCUAGAUGGUCACUUAUUAAUUCAAAUGUGUAAAAUUAUAAUACUUAAUUGCAGUUAUGCUAAGAAUUCUGAAACACAUAUUACAAAAAGGUAAUUGGAAUAGGAAUGAUAUGAACUAAAGUGAUCAAAAGAACAAGAACAUGAGAUUUGAGUCGGGGUGACAUUCAAAGCCUUUCUGCAUCUUUCUUGAAUCUGUAAUGGGUCAAAUGGUUGAAAAUGUUCUGAAGAAAUUUGGUAGGAUGACUGGAGCGAGUCAAACGAAUUGAGAGCGAUUACAAGUUGAGUAGCUCCAUUCUAAGAAAUUUUCAUUUACCCUUUUGGCCUGUUACCCAAGUGAGGCAUUGAUAAGAAAAUGGGUCGAGAGUGCCACCUCCAAAUUUAUGUCUAGAGAAAUUACUUCUCAAAAUAACGGUCUAGGUUAUGCCAUUGUUGAGUUAAGUGAACUUACUUCAGAAACCUGCCUUAAAACGGGUAGUAGGUAGGAAAUGGUUCGAAACGAUUAAGUUUUAAAUACAUACCAGUUCAGGUUGUCAUGAACACUUUUUUAUAAGAUCAUAACUAUUUAAUAAAUCUGAAUAAAAUUAAGAAGUAAUAACUUUAGGUGGUUUUAAGCGUUAGUGAAACUUUGGGUGUUUCCAUUUUAGUUAAGUUUUAGAUUUUUACUCAUUUGAGUCUAAAGGACAUAAAUAGGGAGCUUUCUUAUGUUCUGUUUGGGUUACGAGCAUGUAGAAAUAGUAUGAUGUUUGUUAGCUGCAUGGAGUUUAAGAUAAGAUUUUUUCAAAGUAUAAGGAAAUCCAUGAUUUUAUAAAUGCUAUUGAGGUUCUUAUGUUAGAAUAUGUUUUACACCAAGAC
rnacentral:lncRNA from 1 species